AAUUCAUAUGAAUGAUGUAUGUGCAUUUGUCCAGUGUUGGCUCAGUGAUGGCAAUCCAUGAAACUCAUCAUCAAACCCAUCAUAAUCGAACCGAUUGUAAUGUAUUUAACAGUUAUAGAUGAGUAUAAUUUGAUAGAUGCCAUUACUUCCUGUACAUACUGUUGAAAGACUGUGAUAUUUGAAAGACUGCCCACUGUUGUACAAGUUAUAUUCAAAAUGUGCAGGUCUCUGUUGAUGAAUUGCCUGUAAUCCACAUUGUCUUGCAGUUACUGAUGGAGUAAUCUCUGUUGUGGAACUGCCAGACACCCAUGAAAUGAGCAAUGCAGAGAAUCUCCAGGGUGAACCGACUGCAUCCACAGCCACAGCUCAGCUUACCUCUGUAAGAUGCUGCAGUAUUUGCCUGCCAGUUAUUGCAAUAUUGGAUUAAGAAUCAUUCUUCUCAUGAAAUGAAAAUGUCGUUAGCUACAAGUGUCUAUUUUCUAAGUUAUAUUCAUAGUUGUACAAUUUUCACAGUGCAAUACUGCCAAGAUGUAACAUUGUUCUGUAUUCUAAUAGCUCCCUGUAAAGCAGUUGUACAAAAUAUACCUUGAGAAACAAAUUGACAAAUCGGAUCUGGAAAUGGAACACAUUAAACAAAAAAUGCAGAAAACCCUAAUAGACAUACAAAUAUUGGAACAUCACUUAAAGGUGGGUAGUGGCACAAGUUGAUGGAUCGUUAACUGUCUUUCAAAACCAAAUAUUAAAAUACUGUUUUGCAUAUUCAAUUACAGGAAAUAAAGAAGAGUGCAUAAAA